AAUCAUGUCAUCUUCUAACAGAAUCAGUCAUUAUUGAAAAUAGUGGAUAAUUGAGAUGUUUUUUACCAGUGGAAUGAGGUCGAUUUGGCAACAGUGGAGGAAAAGUCCAUUACCAGAAUGAAGAACUCUUCCUCCAACAGAUAUUCCAGCUGUCUCCUAUUUAACUGCCAAACCAGCAAGUUUCCCACCUGCCAUCCUGUUCCAUGUAACAAGUUUUCAAAGCUUUAAAUCAGAGAAAUUCAAGCUAGAUUAGGAGCCCUGCACCAAUCUGGGACACAAGAGUGACACAAGUCCCCUAAUUACUGGGUGGAGGCAGCAACAGGCAGCUGCUGUUACCAGUGGGAUGGUGUUACCCUGGCAACUGCUCUGCCCAACUCCUGCCCUCCCAGUGCCAACUGCAGUCGUCAUAGAAACUGGUGUCACUGCUGAUGUGGAACAAAAGCUGGGAAACUGCAGCAAGUGCCUUCUGAACCAUUCAGUCCCCUUCUCCCACCCUGCCUUCUACAUGCACAGGCCGACCA